AAAAAGCCCGUUUUUGCGCCGGCGCUUUUUGCGUCGGUACAAACGGGCUUCAUGUGCGGGGAAAGCUGGAGCGGAGGCGGACAAGUGCGGCUUUUCCACCAUUCGCUUUAGCUGUUUCGGGUUGCCCCGCGUCCGCAAGCUGAGAUCAAAUCGACGCAAGCCAUCAUGCUAACACGCUCGCGGCGCGGCGUGC
rnacentral:sRNA from 1 species